CGCUAAGAAGCUGAACCGGUUAUAGCGUUAGCCUUUUAAGCUAAAGAUUGGUGACCACCACCCACCCCUAGCGA
rnacentral:tRNA from 2 species